GGACAUUCUCAGUGUACCCGGCUCCGGGGGGGUUAGAUACCAGUGUAGGCUAAGCGGCACCGCCGUGGUGCCGCUUGUGGCACCAGCGCUCUCUGCUGGCUGCGGAUGGGAGGGAAAAGAGUUUUUGUUUUCUUUUACUUUCUUGCGUCCCCCAGGCCUUUUUUUUCUUUCCUUUUUUUUUUUUUUAUUUUUCUUUUUUUCUUUUCUCUUUAGCGAGACGGAAAGUAGAAAGGGGAAAACAUGAAGAGAAUAAAGUUUGCUGAUUGGGAGAAAGGGUGAAGUGGAUUGUCGUUGACAUCAUUCAGGAAUUAUCACUUCCAGUUCCUCAGAUUAUUUUAAUAGCGUCCGUAGAAAUCUUUCUGAUUGUAGAAACAGUAAAUUCAAUUAUUGCCUGAGAUGAGAGAUGAUGUGUUUAAAAUUUUAUAUUGAAUUCUUUUAUAUUGAUACAUUGGAUAAAAUAACCAGACUUUUUUUCAGCUUAAACACUUAAGCACAUAAGCUUAAAGAAAAUUGAAUUUUUCUUCUGAACUGGGUGGGUAUCCGCUAGCGAAUGAAUAAUCUGAAGGUAAUUUAUUUCUGGGUAAUGAUGAACAAUUUGUCAAGUAUUUUAACUCAUACCAUUGUAGACAUCAACUUUUCCUUCUACAACCAAUGACUUCAAUUCUUUUUCUCUUUUCUCAUUCUGUCAUCUGGGACUUUACACUUCAUUUGCCUCCUCCAACCCUCUGCCCUGAUUGCCUUGAUGGGACACUAAAGUUCCUGCUGUUGAGAUUAGGGUCACCAGAUAGGAAUUGUUUGACCUCGCCUUUGCCACGACAAAGUAAUAACAACUAGCUAACACUUGCUGAGCAUCUAUCAUGAAUCAUGUAUGUUUCUAGGGAUUUAACGUCAACUCAUUUCAUCUUUACAACAACCCUAUGAAUAAGGUAUUAUUGUUUUCACUAUCUUACAGAAGAGAAAAAUGAGACACUUAGAAGUUAUGUAACUUGCACCAGAUGACAGCC
rnacentral:lncRNA from 1 species